GCCCGCCUAGCUCAAUCGGAUAGAGCGUCAGACUCUUAGGAGUGCGGGUCAGUACAGAUUCUGCGAUCUGAAGGCUGCGAGUUCGACCCUCGCGGUGGGCU